CAGCAGCCGCGGUAAUACGUAGGGUGCAAGCGUUAAUCGGAAUUACUGGGCGUAAAGCGUGCGCAGGCGGUUUGUUAAGACAGAUGUGAAAUCCCCGGGCUUAACCUGGGAACUGCAUUUGUGACUGGCAAGCUAGAGUCUGGCAGAGGGGGGUGGAAUUCCGCGUGUAGCAGUGAAAUGCGUAGAUAUGCGGAGGAACACCGAUGGCGAAGGCAGCCCCCUGGGCCAACACUGACGCUCAUGCACGAAAGCGUGGGGAGCAAACAGGAUUAGAUACCCCAGUAGUCCCUGUCUCUUAUAC
rnacentral:rRNA from 1 species